ACAAACUUGGUCAUUUAGAGGAAGUAAAAGUCGUAACAAGGUCUCCGUUGGUGAACCAGCGGAGGGAUCAUUACCGAGUCUCAGAACUCCCUCACCCUUUGUGAACGAUACCGCUUCGUUGCCUCGGCGGAUGGUGCCCCGGCCUCGCGCCGGAUCCAGGCCCCCGCCGCAGGACCACCAACUCUCAGUCUUUGUGAGUCUCUGACGCGGCCUCGCGCCGACGAAAAACAUAAAUGAAUCAAAACUUUCAACAACGGAUCUCUUGGUUCUGGCAUCGAUGAAGAACGCAGC
rnacentral:misc_RNA from 1 species